rnacentral:rRNA from 1 species
GUGGGGAAUAUUGGGCAAUGGGGGCAACCCUGACCCAGCGACGCCGCGUGAGGGAAGAAGGCCUUAGGGUCGUAAACCUCUGUUGUGUGGGAAGAAGGAAGUGACGGUACCACACGAGGAAGUCCCGGCUAACUACGUGCCAGCAGCCGCGGUAAUACGUAGGGGACGAGCGUUGUCCGGAAUUACUGGGCGUAAAGGGCGCGUAGGCGGUCAUUUAAGUCAGCUGUGAAAUGGUUUGGCUUAACCGGAUCAUGCGGUUGAAACUGGAUGACUGGAGUGCUGGAGAGGCAAGUGGAAUUCCCAGUGUAGCGGUGAAAUGCGUAGAUAUUGGGAAGAACACCGGUGGCGAAGGCGACUUGCUGGCCAGCAACUGACGCUGAGGCGCGAAAGCCAGGGGAGCAAACGGGAUUAGAAACCCUGGUAGUCC